GUGGGCCUACGGGAGGCAGCAGUGAGGAAUAUUGGUCAAUGGGCGCGAGCCUGAACCAGCCAAGUCGCGUGAGGGAAGACGGUCCUAUGGAUUGUAAACCUCUUUUGUCGGGGAGCAAAAGACGCCACGCGUGGCGUUUUGCGAGUACCUGAAGAAAAAGCAUCGGCUAACUCCGUGCCAGCAGCCGCGGUAAUACGGAGGAUGCGAGCGUUAUCCGGAUUUAUUGGGUUUAAAGGGUGCGCAGGCGGAAUGUCAAGUCAGCGGUAAAAUUUCGGGGCUCAACCCCGUCGUGCCGUUGAAACUGG
rnacentral:rRNA from 1 species